CAUGCAAGUCGAACGAAGGCUUCGGCCUUAGUGGCGCACGGGUGCGUAACGCGUGGGAAUCUGCCCUCUGGUACGGAAUAACUCAGGGAAACUUGAGCUAAUACCGUAUAAUGACUUCGGUCCAAAGAUUUAUCGCCUGAGGAUGAGCCCGCGUAGGAUUAGCUUGUUGGUGAGGUAAAGGCUCACCAAGGCGACGAUCCUUAGCUGGUCUGAGAGGAUGAUCAGCCACACUGGGACUGAGACACGGCCCAGACUCCUACGGGAGGCAGCAGUGGGGAAUAUUGGACAAUGGGCGAAAGCCUGAUCCAGCAAUGCCGCGUGAGUGAUGAAGGCCUUAGGGUUGUAAAGCUCUUUUACCCGGGAUGAUAAUGACAGUACCGGGAGAAUAAGCCCCGGCUAACUCCGUGCCAGCAGCCGCGGUAAUACGGAGGGGGCUAGCGUUGUUCGGAAUUACUGGGCGUAAAGCGCACGUAGGCGGCUUUGUAAGUUAGAGGUGAAAGCCCGGGGCUCAACUCCGGAAUUGCCUUUAAGACUGCAUCGCUAGAAUUGUGGAGAGGUAAAGUGGAAUU
rnacentral:rRNA from 1 species